rnacentral:lncRNA from 1 species
UUCCUGGCGGGCGAGACCGGUCCCCGAGCACGUCUACGCAGUGAGAGACCGGUCCCGCGCAGGGAGAGACCGGUUCCCGAACGUUGGUUUUUCGGGUUCGCAGCGAGAGACCGGUCCCUGCUGGGGAGAGACCGGUCCCUCUGGGCGAAAACUGCCCAGUUCGGGCUGAUGCAAUUUUGGAUUUUUGAGGGACCUAGCUGGAUUUUGUUAUAAUAGAGGGUCUAUAUGACCCAUCCCCUCUCUCUUCUUCUCAUUUCCCUCCUCACACUCUCCCCACACCCUUGCUAGAGAGAGAGGGAGAAAGAGAAGAAGAAGGAGGAGAAGAAGGAGAAUGAGAGGGUUUUGGUGGACUUGGAGCAUUUCUUUGCCUCUUUUUCUUUUCCCACCUUGUUAAUGCUUGAAGGCUUGGACUUGGAGCUUGCAUAGGAGGAGAUCUUCACCCUUGGAGCUAGGAUUGGAGCUUCUAAGGAGGUUUG